UACGUAGGUGACAAGCGUUGUCCGGAAUUACUGGGCGUAAAGGGCUCGUAGGCGGCCAACUAAGUCGGACGUGAAAUCCCUCGGCUUAACCGGGGAACUGCGUCCGAUACUGGAUGGCUUGAGUUUGGGAGAGGGAUGCGGAAUUCCAGGUGUAGCGGUGAAAUGCGCAGAUAUCAGGAGGAACACCGGUGGCGAAGGCGGGUCUCUGGGCCGAUACUGACGCUGAGGAGCGAAAGCAUGGGUAGCGAACAGG
rnacentral:rRNA from 1 species